rnacentral:rRNA from 1 species
AUGACAAAAAGUACAAAGAAGCUUCAGAAAAGUGGACUGGACUUAUCUGCCCCAAGAUUAGGAAGAAACUGGACAAAAAUGCAGAGUACUCAGGUAACUGCUUUCCAACACAUUCAGGACUUGGAAUUUAUGGUGUUGAAUCAGGCAACAACAAGUAUGUUGUGGAUAUUCCAGCAAGAACUUGUGAUUGCAAAAAAAUUCAAUUGGAUGGCAUCCCUUGCAAUCAUGUGA